UACGGGGGGGGCAAGCGUUGUUCGGAAUUACUGGGCGUAAAGGGCUCGUAGGCGGCCAACUAAGUCAGACGUGAAAUCCCUCGGCUUAACCGGGGAACUGCAUCUGAUACUGGAUGGCUUGAGUUCGGGAGAGGGAUGCGGAAUUCCAGGUGUAGCGGUGAAAUGCGUAGAUAUCGGGAGGAACACCAGUGGCGAAGGCGGUUGCCUGGAGCUUUGCUGACGCUGAGGCGCGAAAGCGUGGGGAGCGAUCCGG
rnacentral:rRNA from 1 species